GGUGCUUGGUGUUACGUUACUAGGCCAGGACUCUUAUGGGUCGAACAGCGCAACAACAGCUAAGGAAAAAAGUCUGAGCCAGGAUUCUUCUUCAACCCGUCCUCUUCUUCAACCCGUCCUCCGGACUCGAGGAAUCCUCCUCCGCCCUCCUCUUCGCGUGAACCAGCUGAUCUGCCAAGAUCAUGGUAGCACCUAUGGCGAGUGCGGCGCGGAGCUCGCUCAAGGUCGAUGCGCCCCAUGGUGGUGGCAUUCGAGGCGGGUCGGCCCGAGCUGGGUCGAUCUGACCGCCGCCGCCAGCCAUGUUUCUUGAUACCGCGGACGACCUCAACCACAACAAGCAGGAUAGCUGCGAUGAAUUGUGGACGGGCGCAGCAGCGUCCUAUGGGCGGGCGCCGCCGACGUUCUUCGCCUCGUGGACGUGCUUCGUGUGGGUACCGACAAGGACGUCUACAUCUCCCUCUCCAGGGCUUCUAUCGAUGCUACUAGGACGCCGACAUCACCGCUGGAUGCGCCACAUCUAGCCUUCCCCUACUUGCUAGCCAAUGGACUGGUGCUCUCCUAGACGAGCUACGGUGGCCGCCCACAGGAUGUUCGACGAAAUUCCCGUCAAGGAUGGCAUCACUUGGGCGACCAUAGACUCCAAUGGAGGUUUGCACAGCGAAGCAGUAAGGCUUUUGACCUGCAUGUGUCAGGAAUGACAGGGACUCGCUGGUGUUCUGCUCGGCCAUGCCAUUGUCCCUGUUCUUGGCUGAGCAAACCAAGGAACUUUAGUGAGCUGUUGCAGGCAGAGGAAGUUGCUGCUGCUGGCAGAGAAAGAUUAGGAUUAGUAUAGCAUGAUUAUCAUAGUUUCCUUGAUUUGUUUUGGUCUAGAUUAGUACAUCAAUGCACUGAUAUUUCUUUUGUGGUGCAGGAGCUUCAAGAUAACAAGGACAACAGGCUUCGCGGCAACUCAUUCGUCUACGAUGUCCUCACCAAAUCGGAAAUUAUUUGGCUCCUAAAUCCUAAUCCAUGUUGUUAUUGUUCCUUUAUUUGCAUUGAAGCGAGGUUGUGAAACAUGCUAACUCUUGCAGAGAAGAUAAAGUUAUUGCCUAGUACCAAGGACGGGUGUGCACUCCUUUACUGCUGUUUUUUCCAUUUGAGUGGCAACACUAGGCUUAUGGCUGAUCGUCAUGCUCUAGCCGAGGAACGAAUGGAGUUACCAAGAAAUAAAGGAGGAAGUCCAUCACCUGAACAUGAUCAUUGCAACGAUUAAUGACAAGAAUGGAGCUUAUAUCACUAUAUCAGCGAGCUUGUUGACAAGAGAAGGAAGGUUGAAGCUGACCUUAGAUCAAAUGAGCCUUUGAGAGAUGAGGUUGUGCAUCUUUGUGCUGAAAUUGAGAAUCUCCUUGCUGUUAGGAAAGAACCCUCUACAAAGGCUGCAUCAUUCAUCAAUGAGAUUACUAGGGAGAGAUCAAAUAGAUAACAAGAACUUACACAUGCAAGGUACACACCACGACACACGGUCUCUUUUGCUGGACCAGACUCUCAAGUAUCCCAGUAAAUCGGUUGCGGAAUGGAAACUUUGAUUCUCAUUGGUUUGUAUUUCGCAAGAAUGUGCAUGCAAAUUAUAGCAUGCAGAACUGGAAUUUCGAGUUGGUGGAACAAGGUAAAGUAAUGUAAAAGAGUAGGAUUUUGACGGCGCAAGAAAUUCAACAACUGCGGGCCAAAUUAGCUCAUUUUGAUGGCAGGCUAGGGGGCACAAGUAUGCUAUUGGGAUCAACUAUAGCGUUUGUAAAUUCAGUUAUCAUUUCUACAUGUAUUUUCCUUUCUUUACUGUAAUAUCUUGUCUGGAUUUGACGUUGUACAUGCACAAUAUGGUGCGGUUUCAGCAAUCCUGAUUUAGGAAUCUGGUAUGUCUCAACACUUUACAUGGGUCUCUAUGAAACAAGACAGAUUAUUUGGUUUGUUACCGCUAAUGGACAUGCCCACUGCUCUUAGCCUAAUACAAUAUUGAUGCAUCUAAUAUUGGUAGGUGAAGUUGGCAGAUGACAACACACAUGUCAAUGGAUAAGCAAUAGGCAUUCAUCAUCCAUCCAGGAUCCAGGAUACCUGUUCUCCCAUUGCAACGCACGGGCAUUUUUGCGAGUAUAUAUAUAUAUAAUUUGACGAUGGGGUAUUCUAUUAGGCGAGGCUUGACGGUUCGGAGGUGACCAUCGUUAUCGACUACCCUCGCCUUUACCCAUUCUGCAUUGAUCGGCGCUCCAGGGACCGUGUCUCCUCAAGGGCGGCCCCCACAGAAGGCCGUCGUUCAAAAUGGAAAGGGACCGGGAGUACCAUGGAGACUUCACAAUCUUCCAAGAGGAGUAUGCGGCAAACGGUGGGAAAAACGCCCAAUUAGCCAAAUGCCCACUAAUCCGGUGCCGAACUCGCCGGUUAGGACGCAAGCAAAUGUCGUGCUAGUUUCGACUCCUCAAGAGGAUUUAGAUGACGUGUCGGUCACGAAUUCCGAAGUGGAGAGCGUGAUGAAUCGCCAUUGCUUGAAGGAAGCUAUGCGUGCUUCGGCAUUGUCCGAACAAGAAUUCACCACACUGAUUUCGACGGAUGCUUAUGUCCGAGCCGCUCGAGACGGCCUUGCCGGAGUUAUACAACUGUUCUUAACGAAAUAUAGGUAAAUUUUGACACACUUUUGCAUGGUUGUAUGCUAGUAGCCCCCGAGACUUGAAGCAGUUAGCCCAACUGAUUUAAGGGUCGUUAUAUCAUCAAGUACUCACGGAGAAAAAUAACACAUUGUCGAAGGAGCUUGAAGAAUGUUGGACCAAGCUAACUGUUGUUACCGCCGAAUUGGAAAAUUUGAAGAAUUUCAAGAAGGCACCUGAUGCGGUAAGAUCGACAGAACAGUUGGAGGAGAGGCUAAAGGCUGCUCAGGCGGACAAGCAACAUGCCGAAGGGCAAGGUGCUGCUGGUCAAUGUAUAUUAACACCGACUAUUGAUGAGAAGAACAAAUUACAAGAUGCAAACAUCAAGCAAGCCAAAGAGCUAAAGGACAUACGAGCCCAACUAUCAGAUGCCUUGAAGGAGAACAAGAAACUAAUAACGCGACAUAUUUAGCGGCCUGAAGGAGAAGUGUCCGGAUUUCAAGGCGACUUGCUGCAAGAGCUAUCCCAAGUGCACGAGCGCGCUUGGAAAGCCAUGAGGAACUUGGCUAAGGCUUUGUGGCAAUCUGAUUCUUCUCCAGAAAUUAUGGAGGAGCUUGUGAAUUUAAGGGAGCGUGACACCGCUUUGAACUAUGGAAGGCAUCAGCAUGUCGAGAAGCUGCACGAGAAUCCUAGGCCAUGGUGAAAAUGUGGUAUACCGGACUUGAUCCAAAUCAUAUGGCCCGUGUCGGACCUUGGGGACCAGACGGACAAGAAAUUCCGGUUAGCUUGGUUUACGACCAAGUAAAGACAGCCGCCAAAUUUUCCCAACAUGACUAUAAACUAGACAGCCUUAUAGAUGGUAUAGAUAAAGAGUAGGCGUUUGAUUCCAUGUAACAAUGCACUUUAUCACCAAACUUAUCUCCGACCGAACUUGGAAACAUUGGCAUCGAA